rfam:Sugiyamaella lignohabitans strain CBS 10342 mitochondrion genome.
UAAAUUGUGGACUAAUAGGGAAGUCGGCCUGAAUUUGAGUUAGGAUCAUGUGAGUUCGAAUCUCACCAAUUUAA